CAGCAGCCACGGUAAUACGGAGGAUCCAAGCGUUAUCCGGAAUCAUUGGGUUUAAAGGGUCCGUAGGCGGUCUUGUAAGUCAGUGGUGAAAGCCCAUCGCUCAACGGUGGAACGGCCAUUGAUACUGCAGGACUUGAAUUAUUGGGAAGUAACUAGAAUAUGUAGUGUAGCGGUGAAAUGCUUAGAGAUUACAUGGAAUACCAAUUGCGAAGGCAGGUUACUACCAAUUGAUUGACGCUGAUGGACGAAAGCGUGGGUAGCGAACAGGAUUAGAUACCCCUGUAGUCCCUGUCUCUUAUAC
rnacentral:rRNA from 1 species